GACGAACGCUGGCGGCGUGCUUAACACAUGCAAGUCGAACGAAGAGCGACGGAAGCUUGCUUCUAUCAAUCUUAGUGGCGAACGGGUGAGUAACGCGUAAUCAACCUGCCCUUCAGAGGGGGACAACAGUUGGAAACGACUGCUAAUACCGCAUACGAUCUAAUCUCGGCAUCGAGGAUGGAUGAAAGGUGGCCUCUACAUGUAAGCUAUCACUGAAGGAGGGGAUUGCGUCUGAUUAGCUAGUUGGAGGGGUAACGGCCCACCAAGACGAUGAUCAGUAGCCGGUCUGAGAGGAUGAACGGCCACAUUGGGACUGAGACACGGCCCAGACUCCUACGGGAGGCAGCAGUGGGGAAUCUUCCGCAAUGGACGAAAGUCUGACGGAGCAACGCCGCGUGAGUGAUGACGGCCUUCGGGUUGUAAAGCUCUGUUAAUCGGGACGAAAGGCCUUCUUGCGAAUAGUGAGAAGGAUUGACGGUACCGGAAUAGAAAGCCACGGCUAACUACGUG
rnacentral:rRNA from 1 species